AAAUUGAAGUAUUUGGAAGAGGGAGAAUCUUAAUGGGUCACUCCCCCGCGAGCUGGUCGGACUCCCUUCGCUCCAAGUCAUGUAAGUAUUAUACUCCCGCCGACAGCAGCGCCGUCCUUCGCGCGCUUCCCACUCGCUCCGCCACCGUUGCAUUUCUUGGCCCAACGGAAAACUACAGCAGAUUUUUUCAGAUAUUCAUUUUGGAAGAGCCUGUUUCCUCUCUUUGACUUAGUCUUGUUCUUCUGCUGUUGGAUUUCCUUGUAAUGAAAGGUCUCCUGCAAUGAAGGUUAAUUCAGAUGGAUCUUGGCGAAAGGAGUGAAGCGAAGCCUCAACUGCGACUAUGUUCCUGACAUGGAAAGAGAAAAUUGCAAGUUCUGAGAUUUUUCCAGUUGGGACGAGGAAGCAGAAUCAACGAUAUUUGUUACAUAUGAUUUUAGCAGCAUUAUGGAUAUUGUUCAAUGCAGAGGAAGGUUAGUCAUCUUAACUGACACUGGUCUUACUGGCAGAAUCGAAUAUUGUCAGCAAACAUAGAUGAUAUUAUUCGUAGCUCCACUGCUCUUUUUUUUUUUCCUUGUUAUAUAUUGUACGUUCCAUUGUAUGUAGGUUAGUGUGUGGUUCAUGUCAAGAAAAUUGUGUCUUUUCGGUGUGAUCUAGAACUCCUUUGGGACUCUCACCUGCUAUUUUGUAUUGUUGUCCAAAUAUGGAAGUUGGUCAUGGGACUAAGGUCAGUAAGGUGGGGUGUGUUUAGCCAAAGAAAUGAAAGAGGAGAAUAAAUGCAUCACUAGGUCACUAGGCUAGGGUUGGAUCAUGGUUGGUUUGAGCAAUUUUGAAAUGAUAGGAGUGCUGGUGUUUGGGUUACUCUUGUUAAAAAUAGUGUGAGGUUUGUAAAAGAGGUUGUGGUGAUAAAUUCUCGAUCAUAUGAAAAUUUCAGAGCUGUCGCAUUUAUUAAGUUUAAGGGUUGGCAUUAACUCAUGAACUAAGGCUUAUUAUCAAUACGUGUUCAGUGGCAGCUAGGAAGAGCUUAUUCGAAUUGUGUCUAUUUCUAUAUGGUUUUAUACUUUUAUUGUUUCCUCCCCGAAAAUUUGGGCCUUUUACCUUUAUUUAAGCUAAAAGAGUAUUUUUAGGCUGUAGCGUUUAAUAACCCUUGUUAAUUAACCUUCCAUAAGUUGAGCAAUAUUAUUUCUUUUUUGACCGCUAGUUUUAUGAUACGUGUCAAGUUCCGCCGUAGGAUCAAUUCAUCAAUAUUAUUACUAUAAUGCACCUAAAAGGUGUAUGAUCAUUUAACCUGUAGCUUAGUAACCAUGGAUGUCCCGUUGCGGUAGCUUAAGUAAUACUCCCUCCGUCCCAAAUUUCCUUUUUGGGCGUCCCAUUUAUAAUGUCCCAACCCAAAAAAGAAAUAAUUUACUUUAUCUACUCUCUCUAUCUCUCUCCUCAUUUACUUUAUCUUUCUCUUAUUUUAUCUACGUUUUCUUAAUUUGUGUGCCCCAUUUUUUUGGGACGUUAUUAUUGGGACAGAGGGAGUAUUAGUACCUCUUCAACUGCUAGUUUUAUGACACUUUUCAGUUUUGAUGUAUGAUCAUUUUCCUUAAAAUGCAAACAUCCAACAUUGGUGCAGCUAUAAGAGGAAAGCAACCCAUGGCAUGAGUAAUAAUAUUAAUACCUCGUUGCCUAGUAGUUUCAUGACACGUGUUUGGGUGACAACACAUGUUUUUGGACGACACUGGUUAAAUAUAGUGUGAAAGGUUUGUAAAAGAGGUUGUGGUAAUAAAUUCUCGACCUUGCAAAAAAUCAGAUGUGUCGUAUUUGUAUUAAGUGAUGCAACGGUUGACAUAUUAGGGAGUGCGGCUUUUAUCAAUACGUGUUCAGUGGCCACCAGGAAGACCUAAUUUGAAUUGUGUCCAUUUCUAUAUGGUUUUAUUGUUUCCUCCCGGAAAAUUCGCGCCUUUUUCUUUUAUGUAAGCCAAAAGAGUAGUUUUAACUUGUAGCUUUAAUAAAUUGAGCGAUAUUAUUUCUUUUUUGGCCACUAUUUUUAUGAUACGUGUCAGUUUCGCCGCAGGAUAUGUUGAUCCAUAGAUUAAUUUAAUGCAUCUACGGUAGCAUAUGAUAUCUGAUCAUUUUCCUUAAAAUGCAAACAUCCUGAAUUGGUGCAGUUGUUAGAGGAAAGCAACCUGUGGCAUGAGUAAUAUUAAUAACUCGUUGAGUACUAGUUUUAUGACACGUGUCAGUCGCCACAUUUUCUACAAAAUGGGAGCAGCUGGUGUUUAGGUGACACUGGUUAAAAUAGUGUGAAACGUUUGUAAAAGAGGUUGUGGUAAUAAAUUCUCGACCUUGCAAAAAUUUCAGAUGUGUCGUAUUUGUAUUAAGUGAUGCAACGGUUGACAUUUUAGGAAGUACGGCUUUUAUCAAUACGUGUUCAGUGGCCUCCAGGAAGACCUAAUUUGAAUUGUGUCUAUUUCUAUAUGGUUUUAUUGUUUCCUCCCGGAAAAUUCGCGCCUUUUGCUUUUAUGUAAGCUAAAAGAGUAGUUUUAACCUGUAGCUUUAAUAAAUUGAGAGAUAUUAUUUCUUUUUUGGCCACUAUUUUUAUGAUAUGUGUCAGUUUCGCCGCAGGAUCUGUUAAUCAAUAGAUUAAUUUAAUGCAUCUAAACGGUAGCUUACGAUGUCUGCCCAUGAGUACUAAGCUACCGACUAACGCCUUUCUCUUUUUUGACCGCUAAUUUUACGUUACGUGUCAGUUUUACCACAGGAUCAGUUGAUCAAUAUUAUUACUUUAAUGAACCUAAAUGAAAGGUGUUAAUCGGUAGCUUAGUACUCAUGGGUUGAUUAAUGCUCCUUCUGUCCCAUUUGACUUGGCAUGUAUUCCUUUUCGGGUUGUCCUAUUUGAAUUGGCCUAUUUUCUUUUUGGGUAAUUACUUUACACUAUAUUAAAUAUGGGCUCAGACACCUUUACAUUACAAUCUCACCUCCUAAAUAAUUGUGCCAAAAAGAAAUAGGCCGAGUGAAGUGGGACGGAGGGAGUAUUAGACUAUUAGUACCUCUUCAUGACUGCUAGUUUUAUGAACAUUUCAGUUCUGAUGUAUGAUCAUUUUCCUUAGAACGAAAACAUCCUGCAUUGGUGCAGUUAUAAGAGGAAAGCAACCCAUGGCAUGAGUAAUAUUUAUACCUCGUUGACUGCUAGUUUCAUGACACGUGUCACUUCUGGCGCAUUUCACAAAAUGCAAAGAGCUGAUUGGUUGAUGGCUAUAGCUUCUUAAAAACCUUAAUGCUACACAUUGUGCUUUCAACUGUUUUAACACUAUAAUAAAUCAUUUAGCGUUGUUUAGUGUUCUUUGUGAUUUUUCUGGCAGUAUCUUAUUCUCUACGCAGUAAUAACUUCAUUCAUUUGACAUUUACAUGCUGGACCUCUAAUGAGGCAACCGGGGGACACCUUAAGUUGAAGGUAUGUGUAUGGAGUUUUGUUUUUGAGAGUUCUUUACAGCCUUAUUGUUCUUUAUAAUUUUGUUAUCUAAGUAGCUGACUCAAAAAAAAAGGCAAACGUUUCUUUUAACAAUUCGGAUGUUGUAGUAUUAUUGGGUUUCGGUUUUAGUGACUGCUACUUUUGUUAUAUCAUUAUAUACCUCAAUAUUUUGGAGUUCUUUAGCCUGUGUUACUUUCUCAAUUCAUUAUUACUUACAUUGGCUCUACAUAAGUGCAACAAUGGCUAUCAUUGGUACUGUGCUGCCGGCCGGGCUUCUGGGGACCGGUGUCAGUACAGUUGCACUAGGCAUUUUGUUAUGCCCAAAUAUCUCAAUUAUAUUAUCAAUGUCACAAUAUCUGAUUUUACAGGCCAAUCAUUUAUCCCAUAGUGGCAUGGUCUGAUAGAUGUGAGUCGGAUAGAGAUGUCUAUGUUGCACUUUUGCCUGAUCCUAAGAGGAUAUAGGCCUCGACAUUCAAUUACGAGGAGAUGACCAAAGAUCGCACCCUAAAUUUUUUUUACAGACGUAUUACAGCAUUCUUAUCCUAAAGAAAGCCAAUUGCGGGAUUUCAGGGACGAUUUUCUUUGCUAUGGGCGAUGCAUCCACCCUUAGCUAUUAGGAUUGUGGUGCCAUUUUUUUGUUUUCUAUAGAAACUGAUUUUUUUGGGUUAGCUAGGCUCUACAACUUCUUGUUUUGAAUUUCUUGUAUUAUUGCAAAUGAAAUAUUUCUUAUAGAUAUUCUCUUUAAAUGUAUGAACUAAAAAAAGCUGCUGAUUUUCUGGUCA